AAUCAACGCUGGCGGCGUGCCUCAGACAUGCAAGCCGAACGAUUAAAGCUCCCUUCGGGGAGUGCAUAAAGUGGCGCACGGGUGAGUAACACGUAAGUAAUCUACCCUCGAGUGGGGAAUAACGUCCGGAAACGGACGAUAAUACCGCAUAAUGCAGCGGCACCGCAAGGUGACAGUUGUUAAAGAUUUAUCGCUUGAGGAGGAGCUUGCGGCAGAUUAGCUAGUUGGUAAGGUAAUGGCUUACCAAGGCCGCGAUCUGUAACCGGUCUAAGAGGACGGUCGGUCACACUGACACUGAAUAACGGGUCAGACUCCUACGGGAGGCAGCAGUCGGGAAUUUUGGGCAAUGGGCGAAAGCCUGACCCAGCAACGCCGCGUGAAGGAUGAAGUAUUUCGGUAUGUAAACUUCGAAAGAAUGGGAAGAAUAAAUGACGGUACCAUUUAUAAGCUCCGGCUAACUACGUGCCAGCCGCCGCAGUAAAAC
rnacentral:rRNA from 1 species